UACGUAGGGUGCAAGCGUGUCCGGAAUUAUUGGGCGUAAAGAGCUCGUAGGCGGUCUGUCGCGUCUGCUGUGAAAACCUAGGGCUUAACUCUGGGCGUGCAGUGGGUACGGGCAGGCUAGAGUGCGGUAGGGGAGACUGGAAUUCCUGGUGUAGCGGUGAAAUCGCAGAUAUCAGGAGGAACACCGAUGGCGGAAGGCAGGUCUCUGGGCAUUAACUGACGCUGAGGAGCGAAAGCAUGGGGAGCGAACAG
rnacentral:rRNA from 1 species